AUUGAACGCUGGCGGCAGGCCUAACACAUGCAAGUCGAGCGGUAGCACAGAGAGCUUGCUCUCGGGUGACGAGCGGCGGACGGGUGAGUAAUGUCUGGGAAACUGCCUGAUGGAGGGGGAUAACUACUGGAAACGGUAGCUAAUACCGCAUAACAUCGCAAGACCAAAGUGGGGGACCUUCGGGCCUCAUGCCAUCAGAUGUGCCCAGAUGGGAUUAGCUGGUAGGUGGGGUAACGGCUCACCUAGGCGACGAUCCCUAGCUGGUCUGAGAGGAUGACCAGCCACACUGGAACGGAGACACGGUCCAGACUCCUACGGGAGGCAGCAGUGGGGAAUAUUGCACAAUGGGCGCAAGCCUGAUGCAGCCAUGCCGCGUGUGUGAAGAAGGCCUUCGGGUUGUAAAGCACUUUCAGCGGGGAGGAAGGCGGUGAGGUUAAUAACCUCAUCGAUUGACGUUACCCGCAGAAGAAGCACCGGCUAACUCCGUGCCAGCAGCCGCCGUAAGAC
rnacentral:rRNA from 1 species